rnacentral:tRNA from 1 species
GGAGGGAUCGCAUAGUCCGGCCUAGUGCGCUCGCCUCGAAAGCGAGUAGGCCCGCAAGGGUCUCGAGGGUUCGAAUCCCUCUCCCUCCGCCA